UGAGGAAUAUUGGUCAAUGGACGAGAGUCUGAACCAGCCAAAUCGCGUGAAGGAAGACUGCCCUACGGGUUGUAAACUUCUUUUGUACAGGAAUAAAAGACAUUACGUGUAAUGUAUUGCAUGUACUGUACGAAUAAGCAUCGGCUAACUCCGUGCCAGCAGCCGCGGUAAUACGGAGGAUGCGAGCGUUAUCCGGAUUUAUUGGGUUUAAAGGGUGCGCAGGCGGGAUUUUAAGUCAGCGGUGAAAUUUUCAGGCUCAACCUGAACACUGCCGUUGAAACUGGGAUUCUUGAGUAUGGAUGAAGUAGGCGGAACUCGUUGUGUAGCGGUGACAUGCUUAGAUAUAACGAGGAACUCCGAUUGCGUAGGCAGCUUACUAAGCCAUAACUGACGCUCAAGCACGAAAGCGUGGGGAUCAAACA
rnacentral:rRNA from 1 species